rnacentral:rRNA from 1 species
AGUGAACGCUGGCGGUAGGCCUAACACAUGCAAGUCGAACGGCAGCACAGUAAGAGCUUGCUCUUACGGGUGGCGAGUGGCGGACGGGUGAGGAAUACAUCGGAAUCUACUUUUUCGUGGGGGAUAACGUAGGGAAACUUACGCUAAUACCGCAUACGACCUACGGGUGAAAGCAGGGGAUCUUCGGACCUUGCGCGAUUGAAUGAGCCGAUGUCGGAUUAGCUAGUUGGCGGGGUAAAGGCCCACCAAGGCGACGAUCCGUAGCUGGUCUGAGAGGAUGAUCAGCCACACUGGAAAUGAGACACGGUCCAGACUCCUACGGGAGGCAGCAGUGGGGAAUAUUGGACAAUGGGCGCAAGCCUGAUCCAGCCAUACCGCGUGGGUGAAGAAGGCCUUCGGGUUGUAAAGCCCUUUUGUUGGGAAAGAAAAGCAGCAGGUUAAGACCCCGCUGUUCUGACGGUACCCAAAGAAUAAGCACCGGCUAACUUCGU